AAGGAAACUGAGAAUGGGGAAGUUGGAAUGUCUAAACUGACACAUCUUGCAUGUGGCAGAACUGAAUUCAAACUCAGACAGGGCAGAAGCCAACCCAUGUCCUUUCCCUGCAGCAUGGUGACCACAGCGUGCUGCCUCUCACGUGGUUCUCGGAUGAGCGAGCCAACAGAAAGAUACAGAGCUUUAAAAAAAUAGAAAAUAAUUUCCAGGUAAAAUCCAGAUACAGGUGACAACCUUAGUAAAAAAUUAUUUCGAACUAACCUCUUCUAAGGAAUUUGGGACCAAAUAACAGCUCUGACUAGAGAAUAAAAUGAUCUGGAAGGAGACACAGCAAGUUCAAGAAAAUACCUACCUUGAGAAACAAGCAGAAAAAAAAUCACUAGGAACCACCGGGGGCUGUUUGGUUGGGUGCAUACCUACCUGAGCCUUGAGAAUACAUCUGGUCCUUAGCAAACCUCAUCUGGACAGAAAAAACAAAACAAAACAUGUCUUAAAAACAAAACUCAGAUGUGGAAAAAUAAGGUUAUCCAAAUCUUGUUUGCCUUUGACUUCAAAGGACUCCUAUAUGGGAUAAACUUUGAGGAAUAUGAAAAGAGAAGAUUUGGCUCAAAGAACAGAAGGAUCAAAUCAAAGUACAAAGUUGUGAGAAAGAGCCCGAAAAACAUUUUACUGUGGUUGGAGCCAUUGGCCGUGCACUUUGAACAAAACCAAGUUCACACAGAGUAGUGAACUUAGUGAAGAAUGUUCCAAGAUGUUCUAAAUUACAAGAAGGGAGAAGAGAGUCAUGUGGAUCAAACAAAGUGGAAACAGUUGUAAAAGUUUUAAUUGCAGGACUUCUCAGAGUGUUCAGUAUGCUAAUUCGAAUCAUGAACUUUCAAAUGUGGAACAUUUUAUUAUGCAUUUACAAAACAAAAUAAGCCACUGGAGUUUUUAUUUGAUAAAAUCUUAUUAA